UACGGAGGGGGCUAGCGUUGUUCGGAAUUACUGGGCGUAAAGCGCACGUAGGCGGCUUUGUAAGUUAGAGGUGAAAGCCCAGGGCUCAACCCUGGAAUUGCCUUUAAGACUGCAUCGCUUGAACAUCGGAGAGGUAAGUGGAAUUCCGAGUGUAGAGGUGAAAUUCGUAGAUAUUCGGAAGAACACCAGUGGCGAAGGCGACAUACUGGUCCGUUACUGACGCUGAGGCUCGAAAGCGUGGGGGAGCAAACAGG
rnacentral:rRNA from 1 species